UGUUUGCUCCAGUUUAAUCAUAUACGUAAUAUUUACAGAGUUUUUAAUUAUCAAUAUAUAUGUAUUAUUUAAUAAUAUGUAAAAGAACAUGUAAUACGUAAAACUAAUUUAUAUAAUAUUUAUCUCGCGCCUAGUAAUUAUUAAAUGACCACUAAACCAAUGAUAACUUGGUCGUUUCUUUAGUUGGAAGUAACUCGUCAUUAGUUGAAGUUUUAAUUUUUAAGAAAUUUGAAAAAUAAAAUAAAAAGAGCAUCACUGUUUUUGUUUAGUAAAAAGAAUGCAUCAUUCUAAAGACUUGGUUAUAUGGUUUAUGUCAUAACACACUAUCAUUUGAAGCUACAUAAUAUCGUAAACCUUAAUAUAAAUUUUAAAAUAUCAAUACAAUAUAAAGCCACAAUUUUAAUCUAAUACCAAUAAAUUAAGAUGAUGAAUCGUCAUAUUUUGAGCAUGAUGAUUUUCUAAUGAUCUCGGGUUUCCAUUUUUGUAGCACAACUAUUAAAUGGAAACAAUUUUAUAUAUAAACUAAACCGCUGACAGACAAAAAAAAAACUAAACCUGUGGAAGAGUAAUAUAAAAUGAGAAAUUGGAGGACAUCACCAUGAAAAAACAAAAAUUAAGUCCAUAGCUUUUACAAGGUAUGUGGUAUGAUUUACUAUAUAUUAUCUAGGAAAACAUAUGAAACUACCUUCACCUAUUGACAUCUAAAACACACGCUUCUUUGUCCUCUUUCUUUAUUUCUCUUUAUUUUUCUCUUCAUUGCCAAAAAUCACAGAUAGCUAUGGUCAUGGUGGCUGAGCCAGAAAUAUAGCACACAACAUCGAGAUCUGGUGGUGAGGAUCGAUAUAUGUCUGGCUGUGAGGAAGAGAAGGGGUUGGUCCCGAACCCGAUAAGGUUUUAAUUGGAAUUAAUUUAUCUUUACAAUGUAAUUGUAGGUACGUGGUGAGUAUAAACGGUUUUCGGGAAUAUGUUGUUUUGGCUUUUGGUAUGUGAUACUUGGUGAAAAACGUACUAUGCUAUUCCGAAUAGGCCCUAUUCGUGUCGAAAAUACAUGAUAGUAUAGUACAGUGCUAGUAGUUUAAAUUAAUGGCAUUGUCGUUGAGCAAUGUCUCAAUUA